GGGAUAACAGUUGGAAACGGCUGCUAAUACCGCAUAAGCGCACAGCAUCGCAUGAUGCAGUGUGAAAAACUCCGGUGGUAUAAGAUGGACCCGCGUUGGAUUAGCUAGUUGGUGAGGUAACGGCCCACCAAGGCGACGAUCCAUAGCCGACCUGAGAGGGUGACCGGCCACAUUGGGACUGAGACACGGCCCAAACUCCUACGGGAGGCAGCAGUGGGGAAUAUUGCACAAUGGGCGAAAGCCUGAUGCAGCGACGCCGCGUGAGCGAAGAAGUAUUUCGGUAUGUAAAGCUCUAUCAGCAGGGAAGAUAAUGACGGUACCUGACUAAGAAGCACCGGCUAAAUACGUGCCAGCAGCCGCGGUAAUACGUAUGGUGCAAGCGUUAUCCGGAUUUACUGGGUGUAAAGGGAGCGCAGGCGGUGCGGCAAGUCUGAUGUGAAAGCCCGGGGCUCAACCCCGGUACUGCAUUGGAAACUGUCGUACUAGAGUGUCGGAGGGGUAAGCGGAAUUCCUAGUGUAGCGGUGAAAUGCGUAGAUAUUAGGAGGAACACCAGUGGCGAAGGCGGCUUACUGGACGAUAACUGACGCUGAGGCUCGAAAGCGUGGGGAGCAAACAGGAUUAGAUACCCUGGUAGUCCACGCCGUAAACGACGAAAAGGAGGUGUUGGGAAGCAUUGCUUCUCGGUGCCGUCG
rnacentral:rRNA from 1 species